UUUACAAUUAUGAUCUAUUGAAACAACUAACUAUAUUUUUUAAACUUUAUCAGAUGUGUUAUGCAUAUGCCAGACAUGAUUAGUCAGUUUAUAAAUGUUUUUUUUUUUUGAAACUCUAAGUUCGUGUACAAGGUACAACACAACUAACACCAUUGUUGUUCAAUACGCCGGGUAUUGAUGCGAACGAAAUAUGGAUUUCGAAAUUUCAUUUUUCAUUUUAUUGUUUUGUUCCGUUAAAUACAUACUUACAGAAAAGCACCUUUAUGUUUUAAAAGAUGUGGGUUCUAUCACAAAUGGAAAAAUAACAAAAUACACCGAAGGUGAGAUAAAAACAACUUGUCUGUUGAAAUGUAGAAACGACGAAAAUUGUGACAAGUCAUAUUUCAAAGUGGACAAAGUUGACAACACAGUAGGAGAGUGUUGGUAUGUUAAAGAAGGGGGUGAGGAUAAGUUGCAGCUGCCACAAACAUCAGAUGGUAGGAAAGUGAAAGUAUUUCAGGAAGUUCCUUACUGUGACACCAACAAUCCGUGUAAAUAUGGAAGAUGUGAAAACACAAACAAUGGAACUCAAUACAAAUGUCGCUGCAAUGAUACUGAUUGGAAGUUACAAGCAAAAAAUAUUUGCUUUGGUGCUAAGGAUAACAGUUAUGGCAACUUUUCAUUAACUCAUACUGGAAUUCUCACCAAGUUGAAACUUGAACAUACUGGUGAAGCUACGUUAAAUUGUGAUAUCACAUCUGGGAACAUUGGAACCAGAUGGGGGUGCGAAUAUUAUGGUCCACAGAAUAUUUGGACUUUGAUUACUGACAAAAAUGACAACCUUAUAUUUCCCUUUUUGAAAACAAGUGAUUACUUCCAUCCCGGAUAUAACAGAAAUUCGCCAUAUCUUAAAUUUGAUAACCUCAACACACCUGCAAGACGUGGAGAUGAAUUAAGAAUCUGGUACGGUGAAGAUUUGAUAAACCGAAACGAACAUAUUAAUGCUGGGAGGUCUUGUGCUAAUGUGUAUGCAGUAUUCUGCGAUUGAACAUUAUUUCUGACAAUGAUGACUGGAUUACUGAUUUAUGUGCAAUUUCUCACGUUUAACAAGGCUAUUGAGUCCGGAAUUUAUCAUUUUACAGCACAGUCGAAGCAAUAGUAAGACAAACAAAAAGAACAAAGUAUACUACUGUUAAUCUGUAGAAGAAUUCAUUUAAAUAUUUCGUGCAUCCUUAGCAAAAAGUAGUAAUUUUGAACCCAUUUUAGACUGAAUACAGGUAUUAUUAUAGGAAACAGAAGCUGUCAUUUUUUAUAUUGUGACAGGUAUUUGUAGUCUGCAUGACAGGCGAUUUUUACAAAAUUUCUAGUUCUUGAUUUAAUUAAGAGAGGGUCUUUUCCUAAACUCUCAUGUUGGAGUUGUUAUGUUGGAGUUAUAUAUAACUGAAACUAAUGAUUUUUUUCUUAAUAUUUUUCUUUGAGAAUUUUAAGGGAGAGAUUGAUUUACUUUUUAUUUUACAGAAUUAUCUAACUUAGCACGGAAAGUUUAAUGUGAUUUUUGAGACACACUUUAUAAAGACUUAAUGUAAUGUUUAUUCUCUAUAUUAAUUGCAAAAUCAUUUCAUGAUUGAAGCUUAUUAUAACAUGUCUAAGAAUGCCACACGUGAUUGCGUUUGUCUUGAACUUUUAAAAUUUUUCACGUCAGUGACUUCCGUAAGGAGUCAUUAAGCUGAUUUAUAUUUCGAGUAUAUAUCAUUAUGUAAAAACGAGCUUUCAAUUCUAUUAGGGAAUUCACUUUCCGUUGUAGAUAUGUAUAUAUUGUAACAAUUUACUCACUUGCGAGUUGCAUUAGUGAGAGGAA